CCUAGAAGACGACUAGGUAGAUAGGCCACAGGUGUAAGUGUAGUAAUACACUCAGCUAAGUGGUACUAAUCGGUCGAGGGCUUGACCUAUAU
rnacentral:rRNA from 1 species